rnacentral:lncRNA from 13 species
GGCCCCACCACACCCCAGUUGCCUGUGUCUCAAGAGAAACGUGGUGUGGGGACCAUUUGGAGCCUCUUUACAAACAACGUCGCCACAUCCUGAGACUGCCUGGGAAUUGCCGUCCAACAAGGAGGAAACAGCUCUGGCCUGCUGAUGACAAUAUAGUCUUCAAUUGCCCCGGACAGCUCAAUCACCUCUGGACACCGGGAUCUUCCCAGGGGCUUUUAAUGGAGACAACAGAGGACCCAGCAGCUCCCUCCCUGCUUGGAGCAGCAGAUUUUUCACAUUCCUCCUUGACUUGGCACAGCCAGGACACUGUCCCUUAAAAAAAUUAAUAAAUCUGGUAUUUGAAAAAAAAAAAUCA